rnacentral:rRNA from 1 species
GAUGAACGCUAGCGGGAGGCCUGACACAUGCAAGCCGAGCGGUAUUGUUUCUUCGGAAAUGAGAGAGCGGCGUACGGGUGCGGAACACGUGUGCAACCUGCCUUUAUCUGGGGGAUAGCCUUUCGAAAGGAAGAUUAAUACUCCAUAAUAUAUUGAACGGCAUCGUUUAAUAUUGAAAGCUCUGGCGGAUAGAGAUGGGCACGCGCAAGAUUAGCUAGUUGGUGAGGUAACGGCUCACCAAGGCAAUGAUCUUUAGGGGGCCUGAGAGGGUGAUCCCCCACCCUGGUAAUGGGACACGGACCAGACUCCUACGGGAGGCAGCAGUGAGGAAUAUUGGUCGAUGGGUGCAAGCCUGAACCAGCCAUCCCGCGUGAAGGACGACUGCCCUAUGGGUUGUAAACUUCUUUUGUAUAGGGAUAAACCUUCCCACGUGUGGGAAGCUGAAGGUACUAUACGAAUAAGCACCGGCUAACUCCGUGCCAGCAGCCGCCGUAAGAC